rnacentral:rRNA from 1 species
UACGGGGGGGGCAAGCGUUGUUCGGAAUUACUGGGCGUAAAGGGCUCGUAGGUGGCCAACUAAGUCAGACGUGAAAUCCCUCGGCUUAACCGGGGAACUGCGUCUGAUACUGGAUGGCUGGAGUUUGGGAGAGGGAUGCGGAAUUCCAGGUGUAGCGGUGAAAUGCGUAGAUAUCUGGAGGAACACCGGUGGCGAAGGCGACAUCCUGGACCGGUAUUGACGCUGAGGCGCGAAAGCCAGGGGAGCAAACGGG